GUGUCCGUAGUGUACGUGGUAGGCACGUCUGCCUGUGAAGCAGAAAGUGAGGGUUCGACUCCCUUCGGACACCCCU
rnacentral:tRNA from 1 species